AGCACCGAGUAAACCCAAGGAUGGGGAAUCACCUUCCAGUAGAGGGUGUGAUUCUUAGAAGCUGUCCUUGUGUUCCAGAACUAUGCAGCUAGCGUAGGUUGAGACAUCAACUUGCCAGAUUGUGGGUGAUUCUUCAGCUUGUCUUUACCCAUGGCAUGAUACUAACACCCUUCUAACUAGGGUUACAGUUAGACCCUAAUCUAUUUAAAGAAGGGCAUGUUGGUU
rnacentral:lncRNA from 1 species